CCUACGGGUGGCUGCAGUGGGGAAUAUUGCACAAUGGGGGAAACCCUGAUGCAGCGACGCCGCGUGAAGGAUGAAGUUUUUCGGUAUGUAAACUCCUUUCAGUAGGGAAGAAAAUGACGGUACCUGACUAAUAAGCCCCGGCUAACUCCGUGCCAGUCGCCGCGGUAAUACGUAGGGGGCAAGCGUUAUCCGGAUUUACUGGGCGUAAGGGAGCGUAGGCGGGUUAGCAAGUCAGAAGUGAAAGCCCUUGGCUUAACCCCAGGACUGCUUUUGAAACUGUUUAUCUAGAGUGUUGGAGAGGUAGGUGGAAUUCCUGGUGUAGCGGUAAAAUGCGUAGAUAUUAGGAGGAACACGAAUGGCGAAGGCGACCUACUAGAACAUAAAUGACGCUGAGGCGCGAAAGCGUGGGGAGCAAACAGGAUUAGAUACCCGAGUAGUC
rnacentral:rRNA from 1 species